GACGAACGCUGGCGGCGUGCCUAAUACAUGCAAGUAGAACGCAGUUGCGAACGGGUGAGUAACGCGUAGGAAACUGCCUCAUAGCGGGGGAUAACUAUUGGAAACGAUAGCUAAUACCGCAUAUUGUUAUACGGACCUUCGUUGUAUUGGCUAGUUGGUGAGGUAAAGGCUCACCAAGGCGACGAUACAUAGCCGACUUGGGAGGGUGAUCGGCCAAACUGGGACUGGGACACGGCCCAGACUCCUACGGGAGGCAGCAGUAGGGAAUCUUCGGCAAUUGACGGAAGUCUGACCGAGCAACGCCGCGUGAGUGAAGAAGGUUUUCGGAUCGUAAAGCUCUGUUGUUAGAGAAGCGGUACCUAACCAGAAAGGGACGGCUAACUACGUGCCAGCAGCCGCGGUAAUUC
rnacentral:rRNA from 1 species